AGCGAACGCUGGCGGCAGGCCUAACACAUGCAAGUCGAACGAACCUUUCGGGGUUAGUGGCGGACGGGUGAGUAACACGUGGGAACGUGCCUUUAGGUUCGGAAUAACUCAGGGAAACUUGUGCUAAUACCGAAUGUGCCCUUCGGGGGAAAGAUUAAUCGCCUUUAGAGCGGCCCGCGUCUGAUUAGCUAGUUGGUUGAGGUAAUGGCUCACCAAGGCGACGAUCAGUAGCUGGUCUGAGAGGAUGAUCAGCCACAUUGGGACUGAGACACGGCCCAAACUCCUACGGGAGGCAGCAGUGGGGAAUCUUGCGCAAUGGGCGAAAGCCUGACGCAGCCCUGCCGCGUGAAUGAUGAAGGUCUUAGGAUUGUAAAAUUCUUUAACCGGGGACGAUAAUGACGGUACCCGGAGAAGAAGCCCCGGCUAACUUCGUG
rnacentral:rRNA from 1 species